rnacentral:rRNA from 1 species
AACGAACGCUGGCGGCAUGCCUAACACAUGCAAGUCGAACGAGACCUUCGGGUCUAGUGGCGCACGGGUGCGUAACGCGUGGGAAUCUGCCCUUGGGUUCGGAAUAACAGCGAGAAAUUGCUGCUAAUACCGGAUGAUGACGUAAGUCCAAAGAUUUAUCGCCCAAGGAUGAGCCCGCGUAGGAUUAGCUAGUUGGUGAGGUAAAGGCUCACCAAGGCGACGAUCCUUAGCUGGUCUGAGAGGAUGAUCAGCCACACUGGGACUGAGACACGGCCCAGACUCCUACGGGAGGCAGCAGUGGGGAAUAUUGGACAAUGGGCGAAAGCCUGAUCCAGCAAUGCCGCGUGAGUGAUGAAGGCCUUAGGGUUGUAAAGCUCUUUUACCCGGGUAUGAUAAUGACAGUACCGGGAGAAUAAGACUCCGGCUAACUCCGUGCCAGCAGCCGCGGUAAU